ACAGAGGUGGCAAGCGUUGUUCGGAAUUACUGGGCGUAAAGGGCGCGUAGGCGGCCUUCUAAGUCGGACGUGAAAGCCCCAGGCUUAACCUGGGAACUGCGUCCGAUACUGGCAGGCUUGAAUCCGGGAGAGGGAUGCGGAAUUCCAGGUGUAGCGGUGAAAUGCGUAGAUAUCUGGAGGAACACCGGUGGCGAAGGCGGCAUCCUGGACCGGCAUUGACGCUGAGGCGCGAAAGCCAGGGGAGCAAACGGGA
rnacentral:rRNA from 1 species